rnacentral:misc_RNA from 1 species
UAUGGAUAAUGAUAAUCGGGUUUGGAAUGGAUACGGUAGUUUAUGAUAAAUUUUAGUCAGGUUUGGGAUGAGUUCAAGUAAGGCUAUUUUCACGGGUACCUUACCUAUUACCAUCCCUAAAUAUAAUUACUAAAAUUAACAAUACAAAGGAUUUAACUUAAUAUGGAAGAUAUCAAGUCAAUAAACACUCAAAAUAGUAUUAUGUUGCUCAAUGCAAUGGUAUUGGUACAAUAUUAUAGUAUUAUGUUGCUCAAGUGCUUUAAUUUAGGCCUAAUUAUCAAA